UCGUAGUUGGAUAUUAUUUGGUCUCCGGGCACGCACCUCAGCAGGCUGGCGACGUCGCCCCGGGUUAUACCCUGGGGCGCUGGCUGGCGGAUUGUAAUGUCACCACGCGCGGGGAUUAAUCCUCUGCAGACGACUGACGUGACCAAGCGGGUCGUGUACGCGGUCGAGUAGCCUAGUUGUUACGAGUCGCUGAGCGUCAGCCGACCUUGGCUCGAUUU
rnacentral:rRNA from 1 species